AGAGUUUGAUCAUGGCUCAGGACGAACGCUGGCGGCGUGCUUAACACAUGCAAGUCGAACGAGAGGAGAAGGAAGCUUGCUUCUUUCAAAUCUAGUGGCAAACGGGUGAGUAACGCGUAUCCAACCUGCCCACCACUUGGGGAUAACCUUGCGAAAGUAAGACUAAUACCCAAUGAUAUCUCUAGAAGACAUCUGAAAGAGAUUAAAGAUUCAUCGGUGAUGGAUGGGGAUGCGUCUGAUUAGCUUGUUGGCGGGGUAACGGCCCACCAAGGCAACGAUCAGUAGGGGUUCUGAGAGGAAGGUCCCCCACAUUGGAACUGAGACACGGUCCAAACUCCUACGGGAGGCAGCA
rnacentral:rRNA from 1 species